rnacentral:rRNA from 1 species
GACGAACGCUGGCGGCGUGCUUAACACAUGCAAGUCGAACGAAGAGCGAUGGAAGCUUGCUUCUAUCAAUCUUAGUGGCGAACGGGUGAGUAACGCGUAAUCAACCUGUCCUUCAGAGGGGGACAACAGUUGGAAACGACUGCUAAUACCGCAUACGAUCUAAACUCGGCAUCGAGGAUAGAUGAAAGGUGGCCUCUACAUGUAAGCUAUCACUGAAGGAGGGGAUUGCGUCUGAUUAGCUAGUUGGAGGGGUAACGGCCCACCAAGGCGAUGAUCAGUAGCCGGUCUGAGAGGAUGAACGGCCACAUUGGGACUGAGACACGGCCCAGACUCCUACUGGAGGCAGCAGUGGGGAAUCUUCCGCAAUGGACGAAAGUCUGACGGAGCAACGCCGCGUGAGUGAUGACGGCCUUCGGGUUGUAAAGCUCUGUUAAUCGGGACGAAAGGCCUUCAUGCGAAUAGUGAGAAGGAUUGACGGUACCGGAAUAGAAAGCCACGGCUAACUACGUG